GCAGACCGAAAGCCGCAAUACUCGUUCCACACAGGAUCUUUUUGAAUCCUUUUUCACGAGUGGGCUAAGGUCUGAGUGAAAUAGCCUCCUUUACUUGACUCUCGCAGGGUCCGCCUUUUAUCAGGUGAACGACGUAUCAGCAAUUUUCGGACAGGCCAACAAGUCCAGAGACCUCCAUUUGCUUGGAACGAGGAUAUGUGUGGAUCUACCCCCGAUUUGGACUCGUCGUGGAGGCUGGGCUGUUUUUUCCUUUGGCCAUCUUGCUUUUUCCUUCACCGAGGUGGUUAUACUUCCUGGGGUUGUUUCUAUGUUUGAUGACUGCAGGUGCAACUCCGCGGUGAUCAUCAGCUUCCCUGACCUUAUGGUCCCUCUAUACACCAACGACGUGAACCCAUGAUCAUGAGACGGCCUCUGCUGACUCCGCUGGCUGGAUGAAAGAAUGCUCUCCUUUCAAGAUGGCGUGCGAGACUGAGUUCUCGAUAUUCGGUUGUUGUCGGUACCAAUGGCAGUCAUGAUGGAGUCUUAUGCGGAUGGUACUGGCAACAUAAUUUCCGGGUGGUGCAUUUGCCCUCCCAUUCCGAAUAUUUUCUUCGCGGUAGCAAUUGCCCUGGGAUGUUGCCCUGUCUUGCAUUGGAUCGUAUCACCAGCAGUAGCAGCUAUUGGAUGGGUAUAUGUCUUUGGUGAUCUGGUGAAGGAGAAGUGUUUGGGAAGGUUGGGGAUGAUAGCCCUUGAGUGCAAUUUGCGGUGCACGUACUUGUUGCAGUCAGUCCGGAAGACAUGUGGCAGACGUGUAACUCAAUUCAGACUACUCUUGGUCUGC
rnacentral:RNase_P_RNA from 2 species